rnacentral:rRNA from 1 species
GAAGCCUUUCCCGAGAAAAGACAGCCGUCCGCAAGGAAAAGGGCGGCCAUAGAAGAUGGCGUUGAUGGGAUGGAGGUGUAAGCACCAAGCUUCGGCGAGGUGUUCAGCCUGCCAUUCCCAAUAGCCCAAUGCACUAAAUCA